GGCCUGUUAGCUCAGCUGGUUAGAGCGUGGUGCUAACAACGCCAAGGUCGUGGGUUCGAUCCCCACAUGGGCCA
rnacentral:tRNA from 1 species